rnacentral:misc_RNA from 1 species
GCGCGAAUACCUGCAGCGCGUCACAUUCACUUUGUCAAGCCUCUCACUCUAGCACACACACACACACACACACUCACGCACACACAAACUCACGCACAGGCUUUGUUCGUAGAGGUGCCAUGACCACCAUGAGCGUCACCCCUAAGCACUCACCCAGCGCCGAAACAGCCGCAGAUGUUCAAAACAGGUCUGCAGCGCCUUUGCCGGAAGCUGACGCGACUUCUUUGGGGCUGAUUUGGACGCGUGCCGGUAUUGUGGCACUUGUCGCAGUGUUUUCCUGGAUCACGAUCUCGUACUGCUCGCACGUGUACUUCGACCGUGACUCGGCGUUUCACAACGCCCUCGAGUGCUCGGAGCGGGUACUCAAACAGCACGAGAAGAGCAACUGGCUGCUGAACGGCACGCUGCUAGGUUCAACCCGGCUUGGCCGUCUUGUGCUGUGGGAUGCAGAUCUUGACAUUGGGGUCUUGGUGCCGUCUCCAAGCUCUUUCGACGCCGCCUCUGCUGCGCUGGACGAGGAGUGUUUUGGCCACAGGUCUAUUGUGAAGAGGGGUGCUCUCAACUCUGACUUACGAAUCUGGCGCAAGUGUACGAGCCGCAUCUGCGCCGAGUUUUACGAGACGAUGCUGGUAAGCGGCACAGCCAAGACCGGCGAAGGGCAGUCGAAAGAGUCGGAUCUGUUUCCGUUGAAGUCGUGCACCGUUUCUGGUGUUCACGCAAAGUGUCCCAACAACGCGCCGUUUUACCUCGCGCAGGCGUACGGGCAGGACUGGCUGACAAUCCCUCUCAUCAAGCUGUUCUGACGGUGCCCGCUGAGCAUCCUCUCUCGCCGGAGUCGGGUCGUCUUGUGUGAAGCGGCACCUGCCUCUACACUCACGGGUACGCGCGCACCUCUCGCGGAUCUUGUGCGCAGGUUGCGUAGGUUUAUGCACGAAGAGCUUGCUGUUGUUGUAAAAGGACGCAGGCAACUAUGCGCGGACGCCUUCGGUUUCAUCGUCGCCGUAGCAGUCAAGCGUCCUCCACCUCCGCCAUGGGAAGACCAUGCAACAAGCACGGAGGAUCCUGCGCCGAACCCUCCGGAGCCCCUCUCCCCCUCCACACACGAAAAAUUUCUUUUUCCCUUCUUUUCCCUUUUCACCUGUACUUGCCACGCCUCUUCUUUCUCGCGCCUCCAUUCUCGACUGCAUCGUGCGCCUGAUGAAGGCGUCGUGUACGCAUGUGUGAAACGGGUAGAUAGGGCGGCCUUCAAAUUGCUCAUGCAUGCAGCGGUGCCACGCGCAGCUCGGCGACAGUGAGGCGAGUGCGCGAGCCGCCGAGGCAUGAUUGACAGGGACGGUGCACCUCACGGCGUGCACCUCACUGUAUUUGCACUUGAAUUUCACAC